rnacentral:lncRNA from 1 species
GCACCCAACAGUGCGUGUGAGGAACGAACUGCUGUUUGAGCGUCCCCUGAGAUUGUGCGUAGCCCCGUGUAAAUGUAAUAGCCUCCAUGGCUUAAUUGGCUAGCAAGCGAAUUUUCCCAGAUGAAAGCAAUGUUGGGUUAGGGGACGACGGUGCAGCCACCCAGCCUUUACCAGCAGCGUGCUGCAGACGAAGGCAGUCAAGGUGUGGAGGUGAUCACGCAGGCGCAGGUCAGUUGCCGUGAUGCUCCUUGAGUCAAUGAGCUCUUUGGUCUGCUCUUCUGCUCAAGCAGAAAAUGAUCUGCGCUUCACCCUUGAGAAGCUGACAAGAACCACAGGCUUCUUCAGGCAGGUGGUGGAACAUGGGUGUAUCCUUCAGGCUCUAGCCUGAUUUUCUGGCUCAUAAGGCCAAAGGGAGCUGGAAAGGUCCCCACGGCAGGACUCAUGGUGGAGAGAGAAUGAUCUAGAGGAUUCAGGCCUCUGCACACUGUGUCUGGGUCCCUCCUUAAAGAAUGAUAAAGACAAGUAAAGAGCUUGAAGCAGCCUGGAGUCCAGCCAGAAACCUUUAACUGAGCUUUAAAGGAGAUGGUCACAACACUUUUCAGAAUACUGGCAAAGGCCUCCUGUGGCCAAGUUUGUCCUGGGAUGAGCAAAAUUUAAUGUUAACCUGCUGUAUCUUUGCUUUUAAUAUAUCUGCUUGCCCAUCACAAUGAUAUUAUGGUUAAUUUCACCAAUUUGGUAACCUGCCUCUUGGGAAGUACGAAAGUAAGCAAGGGCCAGGUAUGGUGACUCACGCCUGUAAUCCCAGUACUUUGGGUGGCUGAGGUGGGUGGAUUGCUUGAGCCCAGGAGUUCAAGACCAACCUGGGCACCAUGACAAAACCCCGUCUCUACAAAAUAUACAAAAAUUAACCAGGAGUGGCAGUGCAUGGCUGUAAUCCCAGCUACUCGGAGGCUGAGGUGGGAGAAUCUCUUGAGCCUGGGAGGCAGAGGUUGCAGUGAGCUGAGAUCACACCACUGCAUUCCAGCCUGGGCAAUGAAGUGAGACCCUGUCUCAAAAAAAAAAAAAAAAAAAAAAAAAGAGAAAGACAGUGAGGGUGUCCUGUGAAUCAAAUCUUUGAAUGGAUGUUUUCUUAACUAACCAAGACCUCUGUAAGAAUUCUGUCUUUGAUUCCACAAUAAAGUGGUGUGAAAUUACUAUAA